UAGAUGCGAGAGUAGAGCAUAUCAAUAAGCGGAGGAAAAGAAACUAACAAGGAUUCCCUUAGUAACGGCGAGUGAAGCGGGAAGAGCUCAAAUUUGAAAUCUUCAAGGUUCUACCUUGACGAAUUGUAGUUUAAAGAAGUGUUUUCUGUUAGAUGAGUAGCAAAAGUUCCUUGGAAUGGGACAUCAUAGAGGGUGAGAAUCCCGUAUUUGGUUAUUCAUUCUAGCUUUGUGAUACACUUUCAAAGAGUCGGAUUGUUUGGGAAUGCAGUCCAAAAUGGGUGGUAAAUUUCAUCUAAAGCUAAAUAUUGGCGAGAGACCGAUAGCGAACAAGUACCGUGAGGGAAAGAUGAAAAGAACUUUGAAAAGAGAGUUAAACAGUACGUGAAAUUGUCAAAAGGGAAGCGUUUGACACCAGUGUUGUUUUUCCGAAAAUCAAUUACGAAUGGCUUGAUUUUGUGUUGUAUUGACCUUAUCAGCUUUCUUCACUUUUUUCGAGUCUUUCUUAAUGCACUUUUCGGUUAACAAGUCAACAUCAAUUUCUUUUGUUGUAAAAGAGUAUUCGGAAGGUGGCUUUCUUUUCGGAGAAAGUGUUUAUAGCCCUUGAUACUUCUAGCAAUCGGAGAGAUUGAGGUCUGCAGCGUAGAUCCUUCGGGGUUAGAUACACUUGUGCUAAGUUUAAGCUUUUCAUAGACAACUUGUUGACUAUGUUUAGUCAUGCUGACUUACUCGCUUAUGCUAUUUUACCUACGCUUAGGAUGUUGAGCGCAUGUCUCUCUCU
rnacentral:rRNA from 1 species